ensembl:snRNA U2 U2 spliceosomal RNA
AUUGCUUCUCGGCCUUUUGGCUAAGAUCAAGUGUAGUUUUAAUUAUGUUUUCAAUUUCACUGAUUGAAAUUGGGGUGUUUAGAGUUUUGAUACCUUCUUUGUUCAACUUUGGCAAUUUAUAUGUAUCUAGAAAUCUGUCC